GAGUUUGAUCAUGGCUCAGAUUGAACGCUGGCGGAAUGCUUUACACAUGCAAGUCGAACGGCAGCAUAGAGAGCUUGCUCUCUGAUGGCGAGUGGCGAACGGGUGAGUAAUAUAUCGGAACGUGCCUAGUAAUGGGGAAUAACUAGCUGAAAGGUUAGCUAAUGCCGCAUACGACCUACGGGUGAAAGCAGGGGAUCUUCGGACCUUGCGUUAUUAGAGCGGCCGAUAUCUGAUUAGCUUGUUGGUGGGGUAAUGGCCUACCAAGGCGACGAUCAGUAGCUGGUCUGAGAGGACGAUCAGCCACACUGGAACUGAGACACGGUCCAGACUCCUACGGGAGGCAGCAGUGGGGAAUUUUGGACAAUGGGGGCAACCCUGAUCCAGCCAUUCCGCGUGAGUGAAGAAGGCCUUCGGGUUGUAAAGCUCUUUCGCAAGAGAAGAAAACUUGCUAUCUAAUAAAUAGUAAGUAUGACGGUAUCUUGACAAGAAGCACCGGCUAACUACGUGCCAGCAGCCGCGGUAAUACGUAGGGUGCAAGCGUUAAUCGGAAUUACUGGGCGUAAAGCGUGCGCAGGCAGUUUUAUAAGUCAGAUGUGAAAUCCCCGAGCUCAACUUGGGAACUGCGUUUGAAACUACAAGACUAGAGUGUGUCAGAGGGGGGUAGAAUUCCACGUGUAGCAGUGAAAUGCGUAGAUAUGUGGAGGAAUACCAAUGGCGAAGGCAGCCCCCUGGGAUAACACUGACGCUCAUGCACGAAAGCGUGGGGAGCAAACAGGAUUAGAUACCCUGGUAGUCCACGCCCUAAACGAUGUCUACUAGUUGUUGGUGGAGUAAAAUCCAUGAGUAACGCAGCUAACGCGUGAAGUAGACCGCCUGGGGAGUACGGUCGCAAGAUUAAAACUCAAAGGAAUUGACGGGGGCCCGCACAAGCGGUGGAUUAUGUGGAUUAAUUCGACGCAACGCGAAGAACCUUACCAGGUCUUGACAUCCUAGAAACUUAGCGGAGAUGCUUUGGUGCCUUCGGGAAUCUAGUGACAGGUGCUGCAUGGCUGUCGUCAGCUCGUGUCGUGAGAUGUUGGGUUAAGUCCCGUAACGAGCGCAACCCUUGUCCUUAGUUGCCAGCACGUAAUGGUGGGAACUCUAAGGAGACUGCCGGUGACAAACCGGAGGAAGGUGGGGAUGACGUCAAGUCCUCAUGGCCCUUAUGGGUAGGGCUACACACGUCAUACAAUGGCUGGUACAAAGGGUUGCCAACCCGCGAGGGGGAGCUAAUCCCAUAAAGCCAGUCGUAGUCCGGAUCGUAGUCUGCAACUCGACUACGUGAAGUCGGAAUCGCUAGUAAUCGUGGAUCAGAAUGUCACGGUGAAUACGUUCCCGGGUCUUGUACACACCGCCCGUCACACCAUGGGAGCGGGUCUCGCCAGAAGUAGUUAGCCUAACCGCAAGGGGGGCGAUUACCACGGCGGGGUUCGUGACUGGGGUGAAGUCGUAACAAGGUAACC
rnacentral:rRNA from 1 species